rnacentral:rRNA from 1 species
GAUGAACGCUGGCGGCGUGCCUAAUACAUGCAAGUCGAGCGAACAGACGAGGAGCUUGCUCCUCUGACGUUAGCGGCGGACGGGUGAGUAACACGUGGAUAACCUACCUAUAAGACUGGGAUAACUUCGGGAAACCGGAGCUAAUACCGGAUAAUAUAUUGAACCGCAUGGUUCAAUAGUGAAAGACGGUUUUGCUGUCACUUAUAGAUGGAUCCGCGCCGCAUUAGCUAGUUGGUAAGGUAACGGCUUACCAAGGCGACGAUGCGUAGCCGACCUGAGAGGGUGAUCGGCCACACUGGAACUGAGACACGGUCCAGACUCCUACGGGAGGCAGCAGUAGGGAAUCUUCGGCAAUGGGCGAAAGCCUGACGGAGCAACGCCGCGUGGGUGAUGAAGGUCUUCGGAUCGUAAAACUCUGUUGUUAGGGAAGAACAAAUGUGUAAGUAACUAUGCACGUCUUGAGGGUACCUAAUCAGAAAGCCACGGCUAACUACGUG